rnacentral:tRNA from 1 species
AUAAUAAGAAGCAAAAAUUGCAUUUAGUUUCGACCUAAAAAUAUGGCCUACUGCCCUUAUUU